AGAGUUUGAUCCUGGCUCAGGAUGAACGCUGGCGGCGUGCCUAAUACAUGCAAGUCGAGCGGUAAGGCCACUUCGGUGGUACACGGGCGGCGGACGGCUGAGUAACACGUAGGAACGUACCCCAAAGUGAGGGAUAAGCACCAGAAAUGGUGUCUAAUACCGCAUGUGGUCUUCGGACUAAAGCUCCGGCGCUUUGGGAGCGGCCUGCGCAUGAUUAGCUUGUUGGUGAGGUAAUGGCUCACCAAGGCGACGAUCAUUAGCUGGUCUGAGAGGAUGACCAGCCAGACUGGGACUGAGAACGGCCCAGACUCCUACGGGAGGCAGCAGUAGGGAAUUUUCCACAAUGGGCGAAAGCCUGAUGGAGCAACGCCGCGUGCAGGAUAAGGCCUUCGGGUUGUAAACUGCUUUUAUAUGUGACGAAUUGGACGGUAGCAUAUGAAUA
rnacentral:rRNA from 1 species